rnacentral:rRNA from 1 species
UGGGGAAUCUUGCGCAAUGGCCGAAAGGCUGACGCAGCGACGCCGCGUGCGGGAGGACGCUUUUCGGAGUGUAAACCGCUGUCGGGUGGGACGAAGGUCCGGGGGAGGAAAUGCUCUCGGGAUGACGGUACCGCCAAAGGAAGCACCGGCUAACUCCGUGCCAGCAGCCGCGGUAAUACGGAGGGUGCGAGCGUUGUUCGGAAUUAUUGGGCGUAAAGCGCACGUAGGCGGCUUUGUAAGUCUCACUGUGAAAGCCCGGGGCUCAACCCCGGGACUGCAGGGGAUACUGCGAGGCUUGAGUCAAGUAGAGGUUGGUAGAAUUCCGGGUGUAGCGGUGGAAUGCGUAGAGAUCCGGAGGAAUACCAGAGGCGAAGGCGGCCAACUGGACUUGUACUGACGCUGAGGUGCGAAAGCGUGGGGAGCGAACAGG